CACAGUAAAAAGGAACAAAGAUCCACUGCAAAUGAAUGAACUAUGAUACAAUGUUCUUUCCAAAAUGUCUUCAUUUUGCAACUGUAAUUACAUGGAUGUCUGCUUUAGGCCAUUUUAGAUGUGUGCAUGUAUAUAAUAUAUAUACGUGUGUAUAUGCGUGUGUGUUAUAUAUAUAUAUGUGUGUAUAUAUAUAAGUCCGCACACUUUUCAAAUCCAGACAGGGUAACAGCAACAAGCUUAACUCUGUGUGUGUGUGUGUGUGUGUGUGUGUGUGUGUGUGUGUGUGUAUUUUAAACAUGAUACUUUAGUAUAACUUUUUGUUAAUUCAGUAGUACAAGCUAUUUCUGUUCUACAAAUUUUUUAUUUUAUAGCUACAAGGGUGAAAGUGACCUAUUACAUUUACAUCUCACAUAUCCUGGUAUACAAACAGUACUUACUGAAUUUGAGCCAAAAACUAGAAAUCUUUAUUUUUAGCACUUGAAGAGCUUCCUCACUUCUACAGCCUUAAGUUGUAUACUAGUCACAUUUCCAGAGUUUGUAAUUAUUCAUUGUUUUAAACUGCAAGAAACAGGUGAAUCCAAACUUUUAAUUACAAUUGUUAUAUACAAGUUAGAUAACACAGCUCAGUAAGACUUUGCUAUCCAUCCUAAACCCAACACACACAUUCUCCACUAAGUUAGACAAGUCCUUAGGAUUUUCCUUCUUUUCCUUACAAAUAAUGUACAAAUUUAGAAGUAGCUGGUAAAACUGAUACAUAAGAUGGCAAAUGAGAGGUGACAUUUUCUGUCGGUUCCAAAACUGGUCCUGCAAAUCUUGUAUUCUGCUGUGUUCUUUAACUGUGUGUCUGUUACAUGCAGAAGCUCUUUUCACAAGAAUUGACAUCAAACUCAAUGUAAGUUAAAUUUACAGUACUGUGAAGUUAUCAGAUUCAAGGACAAAUGUGAAAAAAUAUUAACAGGUGAAAAAUUCGGCCCUUUGAUGCUACUGUUAAGAUCAUGUCAAAUUCAUAAGCAGAUUCUUUUGUACAGUUGAAAAAUGGCAUUGUGUGGAUUUGUGGCAUGGAACUGAAAUCUAGAAGUAUGCUUCUAUUCUGCGGUAACCCUCACCCUCAAUUCUUAAGUACCACUCAAUUUUCUUUGCAUUUUUACAGAAUUCUAGGGGAAAAAACGGGGGGAAAAAGCUGCUGGCGUUUUAACAAUCCCUCCAUUCACAGGAGGUCUGAACACUUCCAGGUGGGGUCUCCUAAGCAUCUCUGUAUGAUCACUGGCUCUCAGCCAGCCUUCGACAGGGACUUGGACACUUUCCAAAUCAAAACCCAGAUGUUGUCUAAUCUUUCCUACUCUCACUUCUGUCAUCGCUGGUAACGUUUGAAUGAGCGCAUUUUUCCCUUAUGGAGAAAUUAUUUGGCUAAACGUACACUUAGCUUGUGGCAGUGCUCUGAGAAAACCCCACUUGGGCUAAAGUAAAGCACUUGCAGGGACUGAAGUCAACAGUCCGCUGACCAGGGCAGAGACCAAACACUUCGAGGGCUGAUCAGAACCCGCCGGGAACACACUGACCUUGGCAUCCCACGGUCAGCAGGACAGCCCAGGCAGGCAGCCCACGCUCGUAUGGCUGAAUUACCGCUUUUAAUCUUGGUCUGCCAUCUAUGCCCCAGAGACAAAAAUUCAGAUGUGGUGACUGCUGGUUAAUUAAACUUUUUGAACUGGUAAAAAAGGCUCUUU
rnacentral:lncRNA from 1 species